UACGUAGCAGCGAGCGUUGUUCGGAGUUACUGGGCGUAAAGGGUGUGUAGGCGGUUGUUUAAGUUUGGUGUGAAAUCUCCCGGCUCAACCGGGAGGGUGCGCCGAAUACUGAAUGACUAGAGUGCGGGAGAGGAAAGUGGAAUUCCUGGUGUAGCGGUGAAAUGCGUAGAUAUCAGGAGGAACACCGGUGGUGUAGACGGCUUUCUGGACCGUAACUGACGCUGAGACACGAAAGCGUGGGUAGCAAACAGG
rnacentral:rRNA from 1 species